AGAGAGGGAAGAAGAGAAAUUCUAGGGGAAUAUUUUUUUAGUAGAUAUUUUAGCACAGCAUAUUCUAUGAUCACAGUAGAAUAAAAUUAAAAGUAAAUAAUAAAAGGGUCGCCAAAAUGAUCUCGACAACUUGGAAAUUUAAAAGCACUCUCUUGAAUAAGCCUGAAGUAAAUCCCGAGAAUAAAAUAGAAAGAGAAAUUAGGAACUGUUUGGAUAAUAAAUCCUAUAUGAUACAGCAAGAUCUUUGCAGAGAAAAAUUUAUUGUUUGCUAUUACAAAAAAAGGGCUAAAAAUUAAAGAAUUAAAUAUUCCCUCUUUAAAAUUAGGAUAAUAAACACAAAAUAAACUUAAAGAAACUAGGAAGAAUUAAUAAUAAUAAAAGGUGAAAUUAAUAAAAUAGACCCCCAAGUCUGAAAGAAUAAACAAAUUACAAACAGUUCCUCCUUUGAAAAGAUUAUAAAAUGAUGUUUAAAAAAAAGACUCACAAGCCUGAUUAAAGAUAAAGGAGAGAUCCUAAAAAUAAGAGCAAUAGGAUGUAUAACAGAUACAGACAGAGAAGAGAUUAAAAAUUAUGAGAAUUCUAUGUGUAACUCUAUGGAAAACAAAUUUGAAAAUCUAGAAUAAAUGGAUAAUUUCAUAGCUGAAUAUAAGUCACCAAAAUUACCCAAAUGAAAACUUGAAUAUGGAAAUUACCAUAGAAGAAAGCUAUCAUUACGAAAAAAAAAAAAGAAGUCACUAGGGCAAUUUUAUCCAAUCUUCAAAUUGUUAUAGUUGUAAACUUACUUAAAUUAUUCCAGACUCUAGAAAAAAAGUGAAAGUUCUUGAAUUUAUUUUAUAUUACAGCAAUUACACCAAAACCUAUGAAAGAUGGUAACACAAAAAUGAAAAAACAAGCCACAGAUUAAUCUUACAGUGAAUAUACUACAAAUACUAAGCAAAACAUCAGCAAAAUCCCAAAGGAGUAAUAUGAUAUAACGAAGAGUAGUUUAUUUCGGGAAUGCAAGACGGUUUAAUGGUAACAAAUACAUCAACAUAAUCCCUUACAUCAAUACAUUAAGGGAGAAGAAUUAUUGAAAAUGUUAAUAAAUGCCAAGAUGUUAUUUGAUAUAAUUCAGUAGUCAUCUCUAUUUUAAAAACUUUAAAAAUAAUAGUAAUAGAAGAACACAACUUAUAACACAGAAUAUUUAUGAAAAAGCAAGCACAUAUAUUUUCCUAAAUGGUAAACCAUCACAACCAUCUUAAUUAAAAUUAGGAACUUAGCAAGUAGGCCCAGUAUCUUCAUUACUAUUUAAUAUUAUCUCUGAUUUUUAGAGAAAAUUAAAUAGCUUGCAUAAGAAUUGAAAAUGAAGAUACAAAAUUACUUCUUUUCAUUGGUAACAUGAAUCCAUGCCCAGGAAGCCCACAAGAAAUUCAAGUUUAAAAAAUAAAAACCUUUAGAAUAAAUAAAAUUGACAAGGUAGCUGGAUAUAAGAUAAAUAUCUAAAUAUCAAUAUAUUUUCUCCAUAGAAGUACUUAGAGAUAGAAAACAGGAAAAUAUUAUAUUUACAGUAGCAACAAAUAAAAUACUUGGAAUAAAGUUUCCAAGAAAGAUACAGGACCUGCAUAAAGAGGAUGGUAACUCUACUGAAGACAUAAAAUAAGGUCUGGCAAGUGGAAGGAUACACCAUGUUCUUGGCUGGAAUACUUAAUUUUAUUUAAAAAUAUCAGUUAUAUAAAUGUAAUGUCAUUUUGAUUAGAAUUUUGACAAGGUUUUUGCUUUUAUGAAAGCAAAGAGGGUGGGAAGAGAAAGAAUUAGAUAAUUUUAUACUAAAACACUUUUGAAAGACUAUGUAAAAAAUUAAAAUUUCUGUAUAGCAUAAGACACUUGAAAGGCAAAAGAGACACAGUGGCUAUAAGAAAAAAAAAUGCGGCUGGGCGCGGUGACUCAUGCCUGUAAUCCCAGCACUUUGGAAGGUCAAGGUGGGCAGAUCACCUGAGGUUGGGAGUUCGAGACCAGCCUGGCCAACAUGGUGAAACCCUGUGUCUACUGAAAAUACAAAAAUUAGCUGGGCAUAGUGAUGUGUGCCUAUAGUCCCAGCUACUCGGGAGGCUGAGGCAGGAGAAUCACUUGAACCUGGGAGGCGGAGGUUGCAGUGAGCCAAGAUCGUGCCACUGCACUCCAGCUGGGGUGACAGAGCGAGACUCUGUCUCAAAAAAAAAAAAAAAAGUGUCAGAGUUGAUAUACAAAGGGGUAUCUUUGUAAUAUACAAACAGAUCUCACAAUUUGAUAAGAAAAGGAUAAAAAUCAAAUAAAAAUCAAAUAAAUGCCUAUUCAAAUAUAUGAAUAGGCAAUUCUUAAAUAAAUACUUUUUUUUGACAAACAUAUUCCUUAAACAUAUCCACACUGUCAACCAGCAAAUUCACUAAUAGUUAGGAAACUGCAAACUAAAGUAACAAUGAAAUUUUACUUUACACUUGAGUGGCAAAAAUUAAAGAGAAUCAUAUUUAAUUCCUACUGCUUGGCAGACACAUGGGAUAAAGAUACAAAUACUGCUAGGUAUAAAUUUGAUGUGUUACAGCUCUUUCAAAAGGUAAUUUCAAUUUCUGUGAAAAUUUAAAAUAUAUAAUAUACUCUUUAACGCUGCAAUCUCAACUUCUUAAAACCUAUCCCAGAGACAUAAAAACACCACUGGCAAGUGUGGACAUAGGUAUUGUGAUAUUUAUUAAAGCAUUAUUCAUAGAACAAAAAAUGGAAGCAAAGUGAUUAAAUUAUGACCCAUUUACAACAUGAAACAUUAAGAAGCCAUUAAAAGGAAUAAAUAGGAACUAUUACGUAUCAAUUAAUUCAGAACUAUUUCCAUGAAAUCCUGCUUAUAAAAAUCCUGCUUUAUUUUUGUACAUGCAUAUAUAGGUCUGUAUAUAAUUGUAUGAAAAUAGAGGAAAAAAUUUAAAAGAUAUCAUUUGUCAACAUGGAUCACUGAGAGGGGGAAGAAAAAGGAGAAAAAAGAGUUCUGGGAACCCAGCAAAAAGAGAAAGGAAAAAGUAACAUUUUACUUGAAGAAUGUGUAAUAUAAUCAAAUUAUACAUUUAAGUAAAGUUAUAAACCUGUAUGUGUGUAUACAGUUUUUUAAAAAUAGAAAAAUUUAAACGUCAACUAUUAGAUUAUGAUUUAAAAAGCACGCAACUGAAUUAAGACCCAGGGGAAAGACAAUAUCAUAAAGCACUACACUUUAGUCACUAUGGUAACUUGCAAAGUAUUUUUGCAGAGCUGUUCUCACAGCUCCCACACGUACAAUCAAAACAAAUAUGCUAAACACUAAAAUUUAAAGAGAAUUGGUCAUUUUAUGUGUUGUAUUAACACAUUUAAUAGUGUCAUUGUACAUAAUAUAAAAUUUAUGUUAAAUCCAUAUAAUGUUAUGCAGUCAAGGCCAUCUAUUUUUGUUUACUUUGAUAACUGUGUUUCCAAAGGACUAAUAGUAUAAAGAAAAAUUUUUGAUGGUGCAGUACAAAGUGAUGAGAGAGACUACAAGCAAAUAUAAUGUGCCCCAUUCAAAUAUAUGUAUAUGCAUAUGUGUAUAUACCUAUUUGUAUAUACUACCGCUAUAGUAUAUGCUACAUUUGUAUAUAGUAUCACCUUUUAUAAAUUAUUUACAUGAGCUAAUUUCCAUAACAGUACUAAAAGAAUUAGCUACGUUAUCCCCUUUAGAAGAAAAUAAUAUGUAAAUAAAUAAUAUAGCAUAUUUACCACUAUGAAUUUUGUCUUUUCCUCCGUUUUGCCUUAUCCAUUCAAUUUUAUGUGUAAAAAAAAAAUCACAGUAAAUUUUGUUGAAAAGAAAAAGCAAAUGGUGGGAGAUGAAAUUUUGAAAAAAUUAUUUUUCUAUCACUCUUAAUGAUUCAAAUUUCACCAAUAUUUGAAAUAUGAAGCCCCAAAGCAACUGUGCAAUCAAGUCUCCUAAAGUAGUAGGUGUUUUGGUAAAUAUAGAAAUAAUUGAUACUAGAUUUUAAAGUACAUUGAACGUUAUUUCUCACCAGAGAUCUCACUUCUAUCCAACCAAAUCUGCUAUACCCUUCCAAAGUCCCUGCCUCAUCCUGCAAAUAUUACAUCCUCCUUUGAGGAUCCUUCCCUGACUCUGUCCAGCAGAGGACUUUUUGGCUCUUCCCUUCUGUCCUUACCACUGGUACUAUACUUAGGGGGUUGUAUAUUCUUCUCCCUGCUUGGUUGUGAGCAAACAGGGCAAAACCAAAUUUCUGUACCUUUCGUGCCUGACUACAUACAUGCCUACCAACUACCCACUCACACAUCACUUAUUUCCCAUUCUGUGCUCUUGCCCAUGUUACCUCAAUCUUUAAUAUUCUCACCCGUCUCGCUAAUCUGUGUUUCCUGCAAACCUGACAGCAUUUCCCUCUGAUGACUUCUUAUCUCUACAGUCCACUUAUCCCCAGCAUAGAGAUUUAUCUCCUCGUGUCUCUGCACUGCUUCCAAUUGCUUUCUAAUGACUCCACAUGUGCAACCUUUGUAUCCAAAGCAAGAUCCUAAACAGAAACCGUGGGUGCUAUUUUUUUAAUUUCCAAAUAUGCUAGUACCAAACAUAAGUAAUUUAACCAUCAAUACUGGUUAAAUUAAGGAACAUAUUUUUUCCCCUCUAGAUUCUCAUUGUAUUGUCAAAUAUGUUAUUAAUGUAUAAUUUUCUGAUUUCUAUUUAAUGGAUAGAUUAGGGAGCAUACACACAAAAACAAUGACCUCAAAAUACUUCUGGGAAAGUGGUGAAAUGAGUCUCUCUUCAUUUGCCUACAAGGACCCAAGUUCCUUCCUCCUACUAGAAACAGCUCUUGAUGCUAAUUGCUGCUCUUAUACAUAUGGAAUUAACAUCUCUAACUGCCUGCAAGUAUCUUUAUACCCAAAGUUCCCUUAGAAACAUAAUGAGAUGAGUGGAAAUGGAAAUAAUACAUGAGAUCAGAAAAAUAAUAAAGUAGGUGAGCUGUGAAUAAAGGAUAAAUAAUCCAAGGCAUAAUUCUUAUCUAGUCCUCAACAGAAACCCUCUGAGAGUUAGUUUCAUAUUUCCUGAGAAUAGACGGAGGAGGGGGGGCAUUACUUGAGAAGCAAGUGAAAGAAACAUAAAAUAUAUAUGACUACCCAUCAUCAAUAAAGAGUCAUAAUAAGGCUACCAAAACCAAACUGGAGAACAACAAAGGAAUAAAAGUAUUUUGAAGUUUGGUGCAGUCCGUUUAUAUAGACAUUUUUCCCUUAUGAAUUUUCACAAAAUCAUCCAUUCUUCAAAGCUAACCAUGAUUUGAUCAAGACAAUGAAAAAUCUAAGAUUAUUUUUUGACAUAGACAUUUACAUUUUUAAAAAAAGCUGAGUCCCAGUGUAACAAUAAAUGCAUAGCACACAUGAGUAAAGAAAAUGGCUAUCGGAUUGAUAUUCCCCCUUAAACAUACGGCAUUGACAUCAAGAACUCACAACCACCCAGGCCACGACCUAAGACCAGCUGUAAUGUGAAUCCACUAAAAAGUAGGGAAAAUUCCUGUGUUGCAUUAAACUUUAGUUUCUUUCCAGAGCUAUUAUUUUAACAGAUACUCAUUAUACGUGUACUUCACUUCAUUAUCAUUUUUUUCUCCGCAAGGUUAGUUCAAAGUGUAGGACCAAAACGUUAUAGAAAGAGGUGGCAUAAAGAGUAAAAGCUGCAUUUCUAAUUAUCCCAGCUGAAGAUCACUUUUCCAUAUGUUGAUGUUCAAAUGAGUCAGCACCCUAGUGGACUCUGAUGUGUCUUAGAUGGACAGAAAUACUCUAAAUUUCAUCAUUGAAAAUACAGAUACGUUGAAAUUUUAUAAUUCUGGAUGAAUAGUAAUGGAUAUUAAUCUUAUUAAUCCUAUCUAUUUGAGUACACACUGGUGGAAAAUUUAAGAGCCAGAAAAUUUUUAAUAUAUUUCCAAUGCUCCUGAAAGGAACUGGGUGGUUUUUAUUCAAAAUAGUGGGCUGGCAAUAUUUGCAUAGAAGAACCAGCAUUCCUACACAAAAGUUUAAAAAUAUAAAAGCACUGUGGCCAAAGCAAAUAUUUCUCACUUGAAGGAAUAAUGGAGUGAUGGAUUAUGCGGAUCAGUGGCCCAAAGAUUCCAAAUGUACUAGCUAAUAACCACGUUUCUACUUCUCUAUGGUACAAAACCUUGCAUCUUUCAGUGAAUCCAAUCAGAGGCUGGUAGCCAUUUGUUAUUCUGACUUUUCCUGGAGAACAACUCAGCCAUUCUCAUUAAAUUAAGAACAUUAACAUUUGUCACAUUCUGAGGAUAUUUUAAUAAUAAUGCAUUCAUGGCCAGGUGCAGUGGCUCAUGCCUGUAAUCCCAACACUUAGGGAGGCUAAGGCAAGUGGAUCACUUGAGUCCAGGAGUUUGAGACCAGCCUGAGCAACAUAGUGAAACCUCAUGUCUACAAAAAAUACAAAAAAUUAGCUGGGCAUGGUGGCACGCAACUAUAGUCCCAGCUACUUGGGAGGCUGAGAUGGGAGAAUUGCUUGAGCCAGUGAGGCAGAGGUUGCAGUGACCCAAGAUCAAGCCACUGCACUCCAGUCCAGCCUGGGUGACAGAGUGAGAUCCUGUCUCAAAUACUACUAUUACUACUAAUAAUAAUAACAAUGCAUUCAUGUUGUUGUCCUCCCAGGCACCUUACCCUCUUGAAGAGGCAACAACAUGUAGGGACUUUGGAGUCAGACUGACCCAAGGUCAGAUUCUGGCUCCAUCAUUCAAAGCCAUGUGGGCCUGAGAAAGUCACUUAACUUCAGUUAAGCAUUAGUUUCCCUAUUAGAGAAAAGGAAAUAAUAAAAAUUUGACUUGGACUGCUGCAAAAUGCCCAACCCAAUGCCUGACAUACAAGGCACUCAAUAAGUGGUAGCUGAUAAAAUUACUUUUCCAGUAUGGCACUGACUGGAGAAUAAGAGACCCUUUGACCUGAGUAAUCUUGUAAUUUGUCUUUUACCCACUUGUUAGGCUAGAUCAGACGUGAUGGCUGAAUACAGGAUGGCUAGAGAGAGGAGUUAUUGCAGGUUUCUUCCAGCUGAGCCUCGAUACCUCACUUUCCUCCCAAUACAAACACGUGGUUCUUUCUUUUUCUCUGCUCAGAGGGCAUCUUAUUAACGAGGGCUUUCCUGAACACCUUACAAAAACGUCCUCCUUAUUCUUUAUAUUUCUACAUGGUACUUACAUCAUAUGAACAUUUUUCCAUUUCUUUUUAUUUGUAAACUGCCUGUCUCCUGCCACUAGAAAGCAAGCUCCCUAAGGGCAGGGACUUCGUCUUAUUCACAGCUCUGUUUCUUAUAACCUGAGUGGCACACAGUAGAUCAACAAAUAUUUAUUAAAUAAGUAAUUUUCUCAAAAUAAUAAACUGUUUCCUGCCAGGCAGUGAUCUGGAAACACCAGAAGGCUGGCACUUCUUCCAAAACUCCUAAUGGAUCUCAUUCAAGGAGCAGGGGGGCCCUCUGUGCUGACCUCCAAGCUGAAAAUGACAAUGGAGAUUUUGAGAAAUGUUUGUCUUUCUGAUCUGUCAAUGUACUGUUUAUAUCUCAUUGUCAUCCAUAUUUCCUUUUCUUGUCUCGGUAAAUGCUAUUAUCUCUCUUAAUGUCAAGCUCUUAGGUAAAAGCACUAUGUCUAUAACAUUUUCUGCCACCACCAAGUUUUAGAUACUUAGUACAUGCUGAGGGGUGAUGAUCUUUGCUAUGUGGAAAGGAUAGCAUGCUCUUAAUUUUGGCCUCAGAGACAAUCUUUACAUUCUAGAAAUGAUAUAAAACAGAUUGGGAGAUACCAACUAUGUCUUCUAGAGAUAUAUGUUAUUGAAAAAAAUACAAUAGAACAUGCAGAAGUGAUUCUGAUUUUAAAAUUUUAAACAGAAUUAAAAACAAGGUUUUACUUUUUUGUUACUGUUGCUUAAAAAUUUUGUGCAAGUUUAUCACGGUGACAAUAAAACAAUGAAUAAUGCCAGAAUAGUUCAAGAAAAAGCAGAAUUUUACCUGAGUUAUUUAGAAUAGUUGCUCCAAAUUGCUAUCUUCCUAUGUAUCAUAUUAAGUAAUGAACUUUAAAAUAUUGAUAGCCAUCAAAAUACACACAUCCAAUGGACUUAUCCUCAACUGAAGCAUAUUUCUCUAGCAAACGGUACCGUCACUGAAGUCAAAAAUAUGUGAACUGUAAUUAUAACACUCACAAAUUGUAUACCACUUUAAAUUAACUUUAUUGAAUUACAAUUAAGAGACUAUUGACCUUUCAGAUGUUGAGUGCACUUGGUUUUAACUUUAAACAAUCAACUGUAGGUCAGUCAUUUCUUCAAGUCGAUGUCCAGAUUUUAAAGGAUAAUUGAAGAUUCUGAAUCACAUACUCAUAAGCUGAUUAAUUGUGACUGACACAGUCUCUGCUGCUAAAGUCUGGAUCAAUGGCAAAUUUACUCAUAUUACAAAAUUUGCUCAUGCAGUGGUUUCCUUUUGUUAAGUAGUAUCCUUAAAAAAAAAAAUCCCAUACAAUCUACACCAAAAUGUCCUUUCUGGCUCAGAAAACAAGUAGUAAAUAUUUAAUAGUCUUUUAAAUAUGUGUAACCCUUUACAAAGUAAACUGUAUUAAGUUGUAGGACUAUACGCCUUAAGCCCUCAUUGACCAACUCUAAACUGUGAGAUCCAAAUGUUGGCAGUCAAAAAUCUCUCCUUUGCAGCUUCUCAAGGAACUGACCACUAGAUAACCCAGAAAAAAAGUAAAACAUAAAAGAAUCCCCUUUUAUAUGAUCAAAUAGUAGAAACACCACCAUAAUUACAGCAAUAGAGCAUUAUUGACAUGUAGUAUGGAUGCUUAUAAGCGAUAGCAAUCAUUUCUAAUGAGAAAUACAGUAUAAUAUUGAAUAGUUAUAAAGAUACACUUUCAAUUUCAUUUUCAAUCUAUGUUCAUUAGCAACAGUGGAGGCUAAAUCUUAUUUAAGUAGAAAUGAAUUUCAAUAUGCAGAAUGAAUGAAUCCAUUUAUGCAGCAGGUGAAAUUCCACGAGAUAAACAUAUAUUUAUUCUAAGUAAGCAGAAAGCUACAUAUUACACUGUCUGGGUAGAAAUACCUGAAAUUUCAUGCGUUUGAGUGUCUUAAUUCUUUUUUUAUUUACAACAAAGUCACACACCCAAAAUGCUAUUUUAAAAUCAAAGAAAUCUGUUCUGAAUCUCAUUUUACUAUUUAAUAGAGCAGCUGAAAAAUGACUUAAAGAUGUGGCCAUAUGGUGUGAAAAUCCAGAAUCAAGGAAAGAAUGAGAUACUGUAAACAUGUAAAAAGCAAUAAAAGGAGGCAACUCUAAGCUCAGUUAAUGAAAAGCUGAUGAUGGAGACUGUCUUUUAUUGAUUACAUUUGAGGACACUGACUCACUGGUGUUUUCCAAAACAUAAAUUCUGCAUUUCAAGUGUUUGAGAGAUUCAGCUAAGUCUCUUUCCCUCAGCCUGGAAUUGUUUGCACAGAAAGACUCCAUAGAAUAAAUUACUGAACCUUCCAGCACAGCUCAAUUAACUGAAUGAAGCCGGGAGAGAAAAGCUCCAAUCUGGUAGCCACAGAACAGAACCUGGCAUCGUUUUUGCUUAAAGAGUUUACAAGUAGAUCAUGGGGCAUUUAAAAGACAGCCUGAAUUUAAGAGUAAAGACAACAGGAAGAGGCAUGAGGAGCUCCAACUCACACUUUUUCCCACUGGCGUUUCUGCAGGAAGUAAGUCAGGUGUUUGCAUUCUCGAGUCAUUUGAUGUCUGUCUUUAUGAGGAAUUGUGAUGUCUCUACCCUCUUUCCCCAGCCUCACACAUAAGUUGAGCCAGACUUUCUGUUCCCUAGAAGUUCAGAACAGCUUUUUCCUUUAACUGUCCCUUAUAAAUGUAACUCAACUUGAUGCAACAGAACCUGAAGUCACUUGAUAAAUGAUUAAACCAACUAUACCUAGAGAGUUAUCUAGUUCUGACUCAACACCAGGGCUUGGAAUUCAGCUAUUGGUACAUUAAUUUAUUUAGCAAAGGUUUUCUGAGACCAGGUAUUGGAAUUACCAAGUGGAAUAAAACAGCCCUGUUCUCAAAGAUCUCAGUCUAGUGAGAAAAACACCCUGGCAAACAAAAGUUAUAAUAAAUGAGUUAAAUACCCCAGCCAAAGUGCAUAAAGUUUUCAGAAGGAGCUUCCAAAUUGGGAAAGUGCUACAGGUUCUGUGGAGGUACAGUUCACCUACGUCCUCAGAGCAAUUUUAGAUUUCACUUCAUGGGACACAUGAGGAUGAGCUCAAGGCAUCUGAGACAUUUCCCUCACUUCCUUGAAAGAGUAGCAUGACCCUUCUUCUCAUCCAUCCCUUCCUCUUCAUUCCACCACGUGAGCGGCACAGAGAGAUCAGAAGGGCCCUGAGGUUGACUUUCAGAACAAGAAAGUUAGACUCUCUCUCCCCUUGGUUCUCCCAAACCACUUGGUGACAAGACAACAAUGAGCAGGAAUCAUGCUAACAAUCUUAUGGAUUGCUUACACGUCAACUACUGACUGUUGCCCUCAACCAUACAUGAUCCCACAGCCAAAUAAGUCAAUAGCUGUGGAAGUCGGGAAAACCACAAUGUAAAUGCUGAAAGCCCCACAUUGUACCAAUGGCGUUUUCUUACAAAUAGAUGACAUCCUCAUCAGUAGCAAGUGUUGAAAACACAAGGAAUGCCUGAAGAAUGGGAGGGGGGUGAGUCUGUGAGGAAAUCUUGUGGAAAGAAGAGAGAUAUUUGUAACAGCUGAAAGGAAAUCCUGACACACCAGCCUCCAAAAUCACUAGGCCGCCUUUCAGCCCAGGGUUCCCUCCUGCCUGGGGAAUUUGGCCCCUUUCCAAUGGCAGUGCCCUCAUGUGCUACGCUGAAAAUAAAACAAAGGAUGCCAUUCAUCAUAUUUUUCAACAACUGGUUUCUUUUCUUAGUUUGAAAGAAAAACUUGGCAAUCGUAAAGCUGAGUUUUUUAUUUUUAUAUAUUUUCUUCUUCGUGUCAAAAUAAACUGGAAAAGAAAAAAAAUAGCCCAAUGGUAAGAAAAGGAAAAUACACAAAAUCCUUCAGAGCUUAGUUGGCCACACACUGCCACUCGACUGACACCAAACCGUGGAAUGCAUCUCUCUCAAGUUCUCCCAGCCCAAAGAGCCGGCUGCCUUCUGCUUCUGUAGAUGUGGCUACUUAGAGAAAUUCAAAUAGGCUCCCAGUGUUAACUAUGCUGCAUAUUUACUUUAAUCAAAGUGACAUUUCCCAGAUGGUGUCAUCCAGAAAACCUCAUCCGAAGUGAAGAGUACAAGAGAAUUUAGCAGCUCAUUCCAGGGAAAAUUGAACACAGGUGCUCUCCCAUUUUAAGAUGACUCAGUUUACAAAAAUAUAAAACUAUGUAACAGAUACCCUUUUGGCAUGAAUAUCCCAGCCCCAUAGAUAUCUGGUACCUGAAAUUGGUACCAGGCAAUCCAUAUGAAGGUGUGAAUGUAUAAAUGAUAACAUCUCUACAUUAUCAGCUGCACAACCCUAAUACUCUUGGGUGUUAAUUCUGAGCCUGAAUGUUUUGCCAUUCCCAGACCCUUCCUUUGCUGAGCAGAAGGAAAGGUGAGAAAGAAAGUGCUUGAGGCAAGAAGCUGCUCUAAGGUGCCUCUGAAAAUUAGUAGAUCUAAAUGCAUUAUUCACUGAAUACCCAGAGUUUCCAUGCUGUAGGUAAAACAGACAGCUUCCUCCAUGGAGACUUUUCUGAGGAAAUGACAUUGUCACUCUAGGAACUGGAGAGCAAAGGGUAAAAGAAUAGACUUCAGAAAGGACAAACCUAUACAGAAACCUGGUCCUGAAACUUACAAGAUAUAUGACCUCAAGGAAGUUACU
rnacentral:lncRNA from 1 species